GCCUGAUGACACUGUGGUUAGUGCUCUGGUCUUCGGUACCACACGCUCCAGGUUCGAAUCCUGGAGGCG